rnacentral:rRNA from 1 species
UACGUAGGGUCCGAGCGUUGUCCGGAAUUAUUGGGCGUAAAGAGCUCGUAGGCGGUUUGUCGCGUCUGCUGUGAAAACUCAGGGCUUAACCCUGAGCUUGCAGUGGGUACGGGCAGACUAGAGUGCGGGUAGGGGAGACUGGAAUUCCCGGUGUAGCGGUGAAAUGCGUAGAUAUCAUGAGGAAUACCAGAGGCGAAGGCGGCUACCUGGACAAUUGCUGACGCUGAGGAGCGAAAGCAUGGGGAGCGAACAGG